GCCACCAAGCGAAUUAAAAAUGGAGAGACGGGAUGGCUGAGAACCACAGAUCAACAGUCAAGACUUUUUUAAGCAUCGCACCAGAGAAA